ACUCCACCUGAUCUCGGGGCGCUGUGCGCUGAGGAAGGCGCGGGCGAGCCGGAGCAGAAGAAGGAGGGAGGGAGCCAGCCGCUGCAGCCACCGCCGCCACAGGGAAAAUGGACGAAAACCAAUUCGUGGCUGUGACAAGCACAAACGCUGCCAAGAUCUUCAACCUGUAUCCCCGCAAGGGAAGAAUAUCUGUGGGUUCUGACAGCGACCUCGUCAUCUGGGAUCCAGAUGCUGUGAAGAUCGUCUCUGCCAAGAACCACCAGUCUGCUGCAGAGUACAACAUCUUUGAAGGGAUGGAGCUGCGCGGGGCUCCUCUGGUUGUCAUCUGCCAGGGCAAGAUCAUGCUGGAAGACGGCAACCUGCACGUGACCCAGGGGGCUGGCCGCUUCAUACCCUGCAGCCCGUUCUCCGACUAUGUCUACAAGCGCAUUAAAGCACGGAGGAAGAUGGCAGACCUGCAUGCCGUCCCAAGGGGCAUGUACGAUGGGCCUGUGUUUGACCUGACCACCACCCC
rnacentral:sRNA from 1 species